rnacentral:tRNA from 1 species
UACCUAAGUAGUUUAAUCAAAAUAUUGAUUUGUGGUGUCAAAGAUAUAAUAAGUUAUCUUAGGUC